rnacentral:lncRNA from 1 species
AGAGGAGUACUGGCCUGAAGGCACUGCUAGUCGAGUCAGGGCUGCCAGGGCACCUGAACCAACUGGAACUUCUGCAGGAUCCCCGUCAUAUGGAAAAAGCCCGGGAAGUAGGAGGAAGAAGCAUAAAACAUCGGCUGUUGCUCAAUCUUCUCAAGUGAGCACUGAACCAAACGAGCCUGUUGUGCCUGAAAUUGUGGAGGACAUAGUUGACGAUCCUAAAGAUUCCUCAUCUGAGUAUGUAAUUUACCAGACAGAAACUAAAGAAGAUGAAGAAACUGAGUAUGAAUUAGACAAGAAAUUUGGACGCCCUC